rnacentral:rRNA from 1 species
AUUGAACGCUGGCGGAAUGCUUUACACAUGCAAGUCGAACGGCAGCACGGGGCAACCUGGUGGCGAGUGGCGAACGGGUGAGUAAUACAUCGGAACGUGCCCAAUCGUGGGGGAUAACGUAGCGAAAGUUACGCUAAUACCGCAUACGAUCUACGGAUGAAAGCGGGGGAUCGCAAGACCUCGCGCGAAUGGAGCGGCCGAUGUCAGAUUAGGUAGUUGGUGGGGUAAAGGCUCACCAAGCCAACGAUCUGUAGCUGGUCUGAGAGGACGACCAGCCACACUGGAACUGAGACACGGUCCAGACUCCUACGGGAGGCAGCAGUGGGGAAUUUUGGACAAUGGGCGCAAGCCUGAUCCAGCCAUUCCGCGUGCAGGAUGAAGGCCUCGGUUGUAACUAGCUUUGUUACGACGAAAGGUACCUGGUUAGUACCUGGGCGUCAUGACGGUACCGUAA